UGUCUCUUUGGCAUCAGGAUUAUUUGAGGCUGUUUUCUUUGCAGACAGAAAAGCAACUGAAAAGUAGAACUUGCUUACCCUUUUGUUAAGAGACAUUUACAUUGUAAAGAAAAACUCCAUCUGUAAAGAUAUCUCCCUCUCUACCAGGAAGAAGGGGAGAUGACCUUAUCUCUAGAAACUCUUAAUCAAUGGGGAAGGCAAGGACUUAAAUCUGCAUUUGUUUAUUGUGCUUGUCUGGUGACCCUCUGUAACUGACUCCCCCCACCCCCAACAUCCUCCUUUGUCUUCAGCUGGAUAUGAUAUUUCAGCUGUGGGGGUUUCGGCCAUUUUGGUGAGUUGCUCAGCUUGCCUGAGCGUCUCCCAUCUAUACAUUGACAAAUAGAAAUGGCAAGCAGUAAGAUAUAUUGGAGUACGUGAGGAAGCCAUUUGGUGUAAACCUAAUUUGGUGUGACUUUGCUAUUUUUUCCAAAAGGGCCUGACUGUGGUCAUUGAGCACACAUUGUAUAUCUGCUUUAAAACAUUUCCUAUGGCAAGAACAAAGGCCCUUGAGAUAAAGGUGCAACUUCCCUCCUCCUGCCAACGUUGGCAUCUCCUUAAGGAUUAAGCAUCUUUCCUUAGGCUAGGAACUGAUUGCUGUGCUCACCUGUGACCACCCAGCUCGAGACAAUAGACUUGCCUCCUGCUGCGCCUGCCGAGAUAGCGGAGCCGCUACCUGCUGUGUCCAUCAAGCGCUGUGCCCGACAGAGCAAUCUUGCGACUAUUGUGGGAGGGACAUUUCAAUCAUACAUGAAACAUCCUGUUUGGGGGUAUAUAACCACUCUGUGCACCCCACUUCUUUGGUGCCCUUUCUUCCUUCGGGAAGAAAGGCCUCAGGCCAUGGUCCUCAUAAAACUUUGUUUAAUUUUCUCCUGCUAUUCUGUCUCAUGUGAAUUUAAUUCGUUCUCCAGCCAGACGAACCCAGAGAUGGUAGAGGAAAUGUCUUCCCCCUCUACAAUACAUACCACAUCUUCUUUAUCCAUUCAUCCCUUGAUGGACACCUAGGUUGCUUCCAAGUCUUGGUUAUUGUGAAUAAUGCUGCGAUGAAUGUAGGGGUGCAUAUGUCUUUAUGUAUUUGUGUUUUCAUGUUCUUUUGAUAAGUACCCAGCAGUGGAAUAGCUGGAUCAUAUGGUAGAUCUAUUCUUAAUCUUUUGAGGAAUCUCCAUACUGUUUUCCAUAGUGGCUGCACCAGUUUAAAACUCGUUUUUUUUAAACUUAAAUCCAUUCCAAUCUUAGCCAGCUUGAACACACGUAAAAUUCUUUCCCAAAGUUUCCUUUUCUAGAAAACUUCGACAACUUUUUUAUAUGCAUUCAGGUUUUGUCCAAUGUGUUUUUGCCUUCUUUCUCAUCCUGGAACAACCAGUUGUUUUACUUUAGGGCAAAUUACUCUCUUUUUCCUUUAACAAAACACAGCCCCAUGCCCCGUACCUUUUCUCACCAAAAACACAUUCUACUUUCCUUGCAUAGAGAUGUUACCCUUAUUAUUUCUAUAAGUUUUAAUUACAUAUAUUUAUUAGAAUUCUUAACCUUUAGAAUCCUUAAUUCCUAGUGAAAACUAAGAAGUAAGCAAUCUGUGGACUGUCUGUUGCACUAGUAUUUUGGGGAUACCAAAUUUAUAAAUACAUCUCAUAAUUUCUAGAAGUGUAUUCUUCCUCAUAGUAAUUUUUACAAUGUGGCACAAAACAUGUUUACUAAUAGACCCAGGUAUCUUUCUAAAGUUCCUCUGUAAAAGGAAGCCAAAAGUGGAUAAACUUAUGUUCAGCAGUUAACAUUUCAUUAUUUUAUCUAAUUUCUAAAUGAUCUAGAUACCCAGUGAACAUCCAUGAUUUAACUUAUCUCAAUAUAACUUUGAGGUUUCAAGUUACCAAAAAGAUUUUGGAAAGUAUUUUUAAGUAGACAUACCGUAAAGCACAAUUAUUAUUGAAAAGUUCAUUUGUAAACUUUUACUUACAUCUUUUAAAUUUAUUUGUUCUUAACAAGUAUGUUUCAAUUACUCAUGAGAAUUUCAUGAGACAUUUAACAGCUAACCGUUGUCUUGUUAUCCUUCUCGCUUGCAAAUUCCGAUGUGAGCUUGACUUUCAGUAACCCUGGGCAGAAUAGAAGUUGUAUCUCUGCUGUAUAUUUAGUGGUGAUAACUCAAAAGACAUGACUGUCUUAAUUAAACCAACACAUUUAAACUAGCUUUUUUCCCCCAAAGAUUAUCCUAGAUCACAUGAACUUGAAAAACAUUUGGGUUAGUUUUCUGUAUUUCUCAGAGUAUACUUGAUUUAUAUAAACAUUUACAUUUCUUUAAGCCAAUUAAAUAGAGCUUUUUACAAGUUAAUUUUGGCAAUAGCAUCCAGAGGUAGAAAAAAUCACACAUCUCUAAUAGACAUAUAUAGACAUACAUAAGCACACAGAUGCAAACAGAGAUCUUAUAGCUUUUGUUUUAAAAUUUUGGCAAUGAGAUUGGUAUCAUAAUGCAAAACUCAUUAUUUUAUAACAGAAGAGUUGGAUUCAAAUUGUGUUUUGACAGACAGAAUAAUUUAAGUUUACCUAUUCAGAUGGCUUAAACAUUUUAGUAAUAUUUGUGAAGAAUGCUUUUAACAUUUUUCAUUUGCCUAGUCCCUAAGUAGCAUUUCCCCUUUUUUUCUCCCUUCUCAUAAGAAUUACCUCCCCGAAGUUUGCAUCUCAAACAGAUGGCCCUCAGUACCUAGAGAAGACUGGUUAGAAUAUUUACAUCUCAAAUGUCAGAGAAAGAAUGCAAAUUCCUCCAAGAAAGACUUUUGUUUUCUAAACUCAUAAUUUUUACAAUGCCUGCAAAUCUUCUGAGAUGAAUAGGGGAGUUUUGGGGGGUUGGUAGAGAGGACAGGCGGGCUUUUUCUGUUCCUGUGAAGACUUGAGUUGUAAGACAAAAACAGCUGUUUUUAAUUCCUCAGAGAAUUGCAUUGCAACCUGAAUGGCCUCGAGGGGCUGACCCAACCAUCCAAUUACAUUAUCUUCAAUUUGCUUCUUUACACA
ensembl:lncRNA